AGCAGCCGCGGUAAUUCCAGCUCCAAUAGCGUAUAUUAAAGUUGUUGCAGUUAAAAGCUCGUAGUUGAAUUUCGGGGUUAGUAGGUUGGUCAUGCCUCUGGUAUGUACUGGUCUCACUGAUUCCUCCUUCCUGAUGAGCCGUAAUGCCAUUAAUUUGGUGUUGCGGGGAAUUUGGACUGUUACUUUGAAAAAUUGAGUGUUUAAAGCAAGCUAACGCUUGAAUACAUUAGCAUGGAAUAAUGAAAUAGGACGUUUGAUCCUAUUUUGUUGGUUUCUAGGAUCGACGUAAUGAUUAAUAGGGAUAGUUGGGGGCAUUAGUAUUCAAUUGUCAGAGGUGAAAUUCUUGGAUUUAUUGAAGACUAACUACUGCGAAAGCAUCUGCCAAGGAUGUUUUCAUUAAUCAAGAACGAAAGUUAGGGAUCGAAGACGAUCAGAUACCGUCGUAGUCUUAACCAUAAACUAUAGCCGACUAGGGAUCGAAUGAUUGUUUAAUUUUUUAAUGUACUCUAUUCGGUACCG
rnacentral:misc_RNA from 1 species